rnacentral:rRNA from 1 species
UACGUAGGGGGCAAGCGUUGUCCGGAAUCAUUGGGCGUAAAGAGCGUGUAGGCGGUCCGGUAAGUCCGCUGUGAAAGUCGGGGGGCUCAACCCUCGAAUGCCGGUGGAUACUGUCGGGCUAGAGUGCGGAAGAGGCGAGUGGAAUUCCUGGUGUAGCGGUGGAAUGCGCAGAUAUCAGGAGGAACACCGAUGGCGAAGGCAGCUCGCUGGGACGGUACUGACGCUGAGACGCGAAAGCUAGGGGAGCGAACAGG